AUUGAACGCUGGCGGCAGGCCUAACACAUGCAAGUCGAGCGGAAACGACACUAACAAUCCUUCGGGUGCGUUAAUGGGCGUCGAGCCGCGGACGGGUGAGUAAUGCCUAGGAAAUUGCCUUGAUGUGGGGGAUAACCAUUGGAAACGAUGGCUAAUACCGCAUAAUGCCUACGGGCCAAAGAGGGGGAUCUUCGGACCUCUCGCGUCAAGAUAUACCUAGGUGGGAUUAGCUAGUUGGUGAGGUAAUGGCUCACCAAGGCGACGAUCCCUAGCUGGUCUGAGAGGAUGAUCAGCCACACUGGAACUGAGACACGGUCCAGACUCCUACGGGAGGCAGCAGUGGGGAAUAUUGCAGAAUGGGCGAAAGCCUGAUGCAGCCAUGCCGCGUGUAUGAAGAAGGCCUUCGGGUUGUAAAGUACUUUCAGUUGUGAGGAAGGGGGUAACGUUAAUAGCGUUAUCUCUUGACGUUAGCAACAG
rnacentral:rRNA from 1 species